UUUUAGUGCAUCGAUCCACUACACACCACGUAUCCAACAACCUCUCGUCGACCGGCAGCGCUAUCCUUCCCAUCUAUAAUAUCAACUGUGCCGCUGCUCUCCCCAAACCAACGAGUCUGGAAAACCAUUAAAAUUCAAACGCCACAGAACCUUAGGUAGCAACCAAAGCCAAGGUGUUCAAAAAAAAAAAAAGCCAAGGUGUUCGGAAAAAAAAAAAAAACAAACCAAAAGCCAAGGUGCUGUUGGAAUCCAUUACAGAAACCCAAAUUAAUGGGAUAUGAAAACGGGAAAAUAUUGCGAGUGUUUCUGCCGUACAAAAUAUUGUGGUUGGUUUUAAAGUAAAAUGCAUUUUAUUCCUGGCUCCAUAGACCAAAUGGGUUAUGCCAUGAGUAGAUUGGAGAUUGAUUCUGAAAAUUGUGAUGGAGGUAAGACCAGAAAUGAAAUCAGUAAUGGCCAGAGAUCCAACAAAUCAUUGAACAAUUUAGAUCAUGAAAUUUCCCUGAUCACGAAAUUAAAAUCAAGACCUCAUGAACGCCUGGCUCAAGUGACACCUGGGAAACGGGAGUUUCCUGUUUCCACAAUUAAGAUGUUGGCGGGUCGGGAAAGUAAUUAUUCAGGAAGGGGGAGGUUUUCUGCGGCUGAUCGUUGUCAUAUGCUUGGCAGAUAUUUACCAGUCAAUGGUCCUUGGCUUAUUGACCAGAUGACUAGCCGGGCCUAUGUCUCACAAUUCUCAGCUGAUGGUUCUCUGUUUGUAGCUGGCUUUCAGGUGCUCUAUUUAUAGCUUUGUAUUGGGAUAGGAUUUAGGAAAUUCACAAUUUAUUAAGGAAAGGGAGUUAAAUAGUAUUUUCUGUGAAUUUUACUAAUUUUUUUUGGAACAAACAUUCAUUCCAGGGAAGCCAUAUUAGAAUAUAUAAUGUUGAGAGGGGGUGGAAAGUUCAGAAAAACAUUCUUGCCAAAAGUUUGCGUUGGACGGUUACUGAUACAUCUCUGUCAUCAGAUCAGCGCCAUCUUGUGAGUUUGUGUAUCUGGUCAUCUUCCGAAUGGCCUGGAGCUUGCAUAUCAAUAUUCUUUGUAUGUGUUAAUGAACAUUUGAUUUGCUGAUGCACUGUUGCAGGUCUAUGCUAGCAUGUCACCUAUUGUCCAUAUCGUUGAUGUUGGGUCUGCAGCUACAGAAUCACUCGCAAACAUCACGGUAAGCGUUAUUUUUCAUAGUCAAUACAUGUAGAUUUAGUUAAUGGAAUAAUACACAUAACACUGUUGCCUGCUUAGUAUAACCAUCUUGUCUUCUAUAGGCAUUGCAGUGUAAAUUUCACCAUCUGAUUGAUACUAUUUCUUUGUAGUAUCAAAAUUGAAACUCUUUCCUGAUCUACAACGACAAGUCACAAUACAGCCUGUUUGACUGAGUCAUUGGAGGACUUCAUAUGCAUUGAGGAGGAUGUAUAGUAAUGUAAAUGAAAAUGAUGGAACAGAUUUGAUGCAUUUGCGUGCAUAAAUAAUUAGGAUUGGAGUAUUUAGUCGGGAAAUCAAUUCUUCUGAUUUUAAGAUCCUAACCUUUUCCCAAUCUCAUUGUUACACUUUCAUGGCAUAGAAAAACUACAGGAACUAGAUUUUUUUUGUCAUGAAACCAUCUCUUUUGUAAAUAUUGGUUGUUCUCCAGUUAACAUUAGAUACUUGAGAUUUCAGCCAUCCCAAGUGGGGUGUGGAGGCACUGUUGAUUCCUUUAUGCCUUGAAGUACAAGUCAUAACCAAAUGACAGUGAAUCCUCACUAUUUUGAUGCAUAAUCCAAGGAUUUGUUAUUUCUGAUUGAUCUUAUUUGUUCAGAGUUUUUUUUUUACUUUAAUAAUUGAUUCAUAUUUGGAGCCCAUAUGUUUUUUUAGGAGAUUCAUGACGGAUUGGACUUUUCUGCUGAUGGUGAUGGGGGCUAUUCUUUUGGGAUCUUCUCUGUGAAAUUUUCUACUGAUGGACGUGAACUUGUUGCAGGAAGUAGUGAUGAUUCAAUUUAUGUAUAUGACAUUGAACAAAAUAAGCUCUCACUUCAAAUUCAUGCGCAUGCGGUAUGUUCCCAGUCGUGAUAAGCACCUUCUGAAUAUCAUCCCCUAUGUGAUUUGCAUAACGUCGGCUUGGUUAUUUAUGCCUUGGACAUUGCCAACAUACAUUAAUUCCUGCAACUUUUGUGCAUUUUUUAACCUUUUUUGUUACUAACCGAGAAUAUAAAAUGUUUAGUCUUUAACCUAUCUGAUAUACAAUCGGUCUUUGUUAUCUGAACUGAUAAAGGAGCAGGUGUAUCUGGAUAGGCCUUAGGUUACUCUUGCCAAAAUGACAAAAUAAUUGAGAAGCAAAGAGCCAAUAACAUAUGAUUGCUUGUGUAGUAUUUCAAGUUUAUCACAAAGUCAAGUUUUCCUGGUCAAAUUUGAGCUUUCUUUCUUUUCAAGUUGAAAUAUGGACUUGCAAGGUUCUAAAUUAUUUUUUUUUAAAUGCUGCAGUCUGAUGUUAACACUGUAUGUUUUGCUGAUGAAAGUGGCCAUCUUAUCUAUUCUGGAAGUGAUGAUAAUCUUUGUAAGGUGUGGGAUAGGCGUUGCUUUAUUGCUAGAGGAAAUCCAGCAGGAGUCCUAGUGGGACACCUAGAAGGCAUUACAUUUCUUGACAGUCGUGGAGAUGGUCGUUAUUUCAUCUCUAAUGGCAAAGAUCAGACAAUCAAACUUUGGGAUAUCCGGAAAAUGGCUUCUAAUGCUCCUUGCGACUUAGCGCUAAGGAACUAUGAAUGGGAUUACAGAUGGAUGGACUAUCCACCACAGGCAAAAGAUUUGAAACAUCCAGGUGAUCAAUCAGUGGCUACAUAUAAAGGUCAUUCAGUCUUGCGUACUCUUAUUCGCUGCUACUUUUCCCCCACACAUAGCACUGGCCAAAAGUAUAUAUACACUGGCUCUCAUGAUUCUCACGUUUAUAUAUAUGACUUGGUAAGUAAUCAAAUCUACUGUUGCUUUUGCUUCUCUCUGCUUGCUUUUAUCCCAGUUCAUGAUAGCAAACUGAAUAUGUUGCUUUAUGAUGAGUCUUGGUGAUAAUGCAAAACUCACAAAGUAUGUUUUCCCUAAUUAAAAGACAGAAAUCACCAGUUAGUGAGACUCAUGGUUGCAGAAGUGUGAAACUCGUGUGUUUUGUUGACGAUAGUACUGUUAUAAAGAAGAGGUGACCUCAUUGGGUGAAGAUACAAUCCAUGCGUGCUAUAUUCUGCAAAAUGGUCAUCUAGUUAAAGUAGGACCUUUAUUUAUGCCCACCAAAAUGUUUAUCUGAUGUUAUCGCAUGAAUAUACCUAACCACAAGGCCUGUAUGCUUAUUCUUGACAUUUCGGAGCCCAUUCCUGUAUGAGAAGUAACUUGAAUUCUAUGUAGGUUACUGGAGAGCAAGUUGCAGUUCUCAAACACCAUGAAUCACCUGUCAGAGAUUGUAGUUGGCACCCGGAUUAUCCAAUGCUUGUAAGCUCUUCUUGGGACGGGGAUGUUGUGAAAUGGGAAUUUCCUAUGAAUGGAGAAGCUCCAACACCUGCAACCAAGAAGAGGAUUCGGAGGCGACAAUUUUAUUGAAAGAAGUUGGUGAUACAUGCAAAUGCAAUCUCCUUGAUAUUAUGAAGUAAAUAUAUGUUGUUUUCGCCACACACAUAUAUUAUGUAAUUAGCCUGUAAUGUGAAAUCAUUGCUUUAUACUAUACGUCCAUAAGGUUUGAGUUGUACAUGGAUAACCCCCCAAUGAGGAGAUUUUAUGUACCAAUAAAAGAUAUCGGUGAAUUGAAAUCUUAACCACCGG
rnacentral:misc_RNA from 1 species